rnacentral:rRNA from 1 species
AUUGAACGCUGGCGGCAGGCCUAACACAUGCAAGUCGAGCGGAUGAAGGGAGCUUGCUCCUGGAUUCAGCGGCGGACGGGUGAGUAAUGCCUAGGAAUCUGCCUGGUAGUGGGGGAUAACGUCCGGAAACGGGCGCUAAUACCGCAUACGUCCUGAGGGAGAAAGUGGGGGAUCUUCGGACCUCACGCUAUCAGAUGAGCCUAGGUCGGAUUAGCUAGUUGGUGGGGUAAAGGCCUACCAAGGCGACGAUCCGUAACUGGUCUGAGAGGAUGAUCAGUCACACUGGAACUGGAACACGGUCCAGACUCCUAAGGGAGGCAGCAGUGGGGAAUAUUGGACAAUGGGCGAAAGCCUGAUCCAGCCAUGCCGCGUGUGUGAAGAAGGUCUUCGGAUUGUAAAGCACUUUAAGUUGGGAGGAAGGGCAGUAAGUUAAUACCUUGCUGUUUUGACGGUACCAACAGAAUAAGCACCGGCUAACUUCGUG